rnacentral:pre_miRNA from 1 species
GCUGAUAUACAUGGUGUAUUGUUAGUAUUGAAAAACUUGUUGCCAAAGUUAAAUCUUCUUACAAGCACCAGGUAAUAUCAGCUG